rnacentral:lncRNA from 1 species
GAAAUCCUCAGUUGGGUGAAGCCUAAAAGGAAUCCCCCAUCCUUUUAUGGAGGGGAUGGGGUACCUUGUCAACUCCAGACUGACCCAACCCUUCCUCUCUGGAAAACUUAGAGACACCCAAGGCAGUGUUGGGCAAACGGGGACAGCAAAGGCCAGGGAGCCGUUGCCUUCCUGGCCUCAGAAGGAAGAGAAGAGAGAUCAGCCUCCUCACUAGCCCUGGGGAAAAUACCCUUUCUGUGAGCAAAUCAUCACGAAUGCAGAAAGCCCUGGCUUCUUGGUCACCCUGCACAGUUUACCGUAACUUGAGUCGACCCUAACCAGCCGCAGCCGCCUCUGCGAGUCUGGACUUGUGGGUCAGGCAGGCUGGGCUUGUUCUCUACUCUGUAAUUUUUGUAAGCCUGGGCAUAUCAAAAGGUCCUUCUGGACCUUCACUUUCUCCACUAUAAAAUGGGUUCAUAAUCACUGCCUUGCCCAACUGUACUUGAGAUGAAAUAAGAUAGUCUAUGUAAAAGGACUAAUAGCAUUUUUCAUAGAUAAUAAAUGAGAGAACCUUACUGAUGUUAAUAAGAUUCCACAUCAAAAUGAGUUCCAUCCACAAAAAUGACAUCAAAUAGAUUGAAAUCUAGAAGAUAGAUGUCUAGAAGACAGAUGAAGACCAACCUAGAAGUGCCUUGAGAUGAAGAGAGUGAUGCUCUUGGGGACCUCUUGCAAGUGAGGCUGUGUGUAGAGUGUGCUCAGUAGAAACAAAGGAAGAAAGAACAGCAAAUGACCUAUUUGGGGCAAAGAAAGAGGCAGAAGAGGCGUGUCCUGGCUCAGGACUAUCAGGCAUCACCCCAUGAGAGGUUCGCAGCCCUCAGUAUGACCUCUUCCUGCUAUCCUAUGUCUUUGGCAUCAGAGAGGACCCUUCUUUGCCACAGCCAAGUCAACAAUGGCUCCGCAGUAGGAGGGCACUGCAUUUAUGUGGCUGUGUUAUCCACGCCUCGUGGACGUCAUCCCCUGCAACUUUCUUGCAGAUAUCCAUGUAGGUGCCAUCUUUGUGGCAGGUUCUGAUCCCAGUGCUGAGGACACAGAGGUAGGUGAACCACACCCAAAGCAUAAGGAAUAUCUACGAGGCAAAAAGACCCCUCUGUCACACAAGGAAGUCAUUCUCCCUCUGCAGUUGAGUGAGGGGCAGCUCCUGACUUCCUUGUCUGGGAGACUUCGUGCUCCCUACACAGUGCUGAGCAAAGUUGUUGUCACCCUGAAGUUCCUCAUCCUCAGUGAAGACCCGAUCCUACAUACACACAAACACAGGCACCUACCCUAGACAUACAAGCUGGUAAAAUACUCAUCUCUGUCCUAUAUGCUUCUUUUUUAAAAAUAGGGGAAAAAUGCAUUGGUAGCAAUAAAC